UACGUAGGAGGCGAGCGUUGUCCGGAGUUACUGGGCGUAAAGCGCACGCAGGCGGUCAGAUCAGUCUGGAGUGACAGUCUCGGCUUAACCGACGAAGUGUUCUGGAAACUGUCUGACUUGAGGGCUUCAGAGGGACACGGAAUUCCGGGUGGAGUGGUGAAAUGCGUAGAUAUUCGGGAAGAACACCAGUGGCGAAGGCGACUUACUGGACACAUAUUGACGACUGA
rnacentral:rRNA from 1 species